rnacentral:tRNA from 1 species
GCGGGAGUAGUUCAAUUCUCAGAACAGAUUCUUUCCCGGAAUAAGAUAUAGGUGUAAGUCCUAUCUUCCGCU